UUGCUGAGUCGGCCAUGAAAUCGUCAGCUGCAAGAUCAAUGCCUAAUGAUCGACGUCGGGUGGCGCCACCACCGCCACCGCCACCGCCACAGCCACAGCCACAGCCAGUUUUCUUCCCUUAUCCGAUGCUACCUUAUAACCAUCCAUACGCGUACACGCCGCGGCCAGUAUCUUGGUCGUUUGUUCGUCCACAACUACCUAUACCCUCUUGGGACAACCAUACUUACGUUUAUACUCAAACACUGCCUCUAUUAUCUUCGUUUGUUUCUCCACCAACACCGCCUUCUUUGCCUUUUUGGAACAAUACUCAAACAUUGCAUCCACCUUCCUUCCCAACACCAACACCAGCACCGCCUUUUCCUUUAGCUUAUACUACUCCACCAUUAAUGCAUCCACCUUCCUUUCCAACACCAACACCAUCAGCACCACCUUUACCCUUGCAUCCACCUUCCAAUUCCUUCCCUCCCAACAAAGAAGAAGAUUUGAGCCACAAGAUUCUCAAACAAAUUGAAUAUUAUUUUUGGUUCGAUUUAAUUCAUUUGUACUUUUUAUAUAUAUUUCUUUUUUCUUUUAACUAAGAUACUAAUUAAAAUAAUUUUUGGUGUUGCAGUGAUAACAAUCUUGCCAAAGAUCUUCAUCUGAAAGACCAAAUGGACAUCGACAACGGAUGAGUUUCGAUUGAGGUUAUUGCCGGUUUUAAUCGAAUAAAAGAGAUGACAGAUGAUAUUAAGUUUAUUCUGGACAGCUUGAAACAUUCAGAUACAAUCGAAGUCGAGGGAGACAAACUAAGGCGACGUUCUACUUGGAAGAAAUGGAUAGUUUAUCGUCAAGCAGCUUCAAGGAAUUAAUGUUGUUCCCACGUAUCCAAUUAAGGAGUGUCAACUAAAGACAAAGCAAAAGUUAAGGCAAACAAGUAACACAAAAAGAAUGCUAAGUAAAGAGGUUUUGUAAUUUUAGACGAGUAUUCUUUUCCCUUUAUUGGCGUGGGUUUUCACCAUAAAAGUUUUAAUGAGGCUCGGAUCCUUAGUCUGCAAUUUUGUGCUUUCAAGGGUUUUAGAAUUUUUUCUUUUAAUAAAAUCUUAAUUAAGUCCAUAAUAGGAACGAAAUUAA